UACUUCCCUCCAUGUAGACUUAGACUCAUUAAGGACUACUCGUUGAGUACGGUUUGUCAGCCAGUUGCGAGUCCAUUUAGUGGUGGUGCUAUCUAUUCUACUUUUUUCUACCUUACUAAGAAAUAGGUUGUUGUCUACUUUGUAGAAUGCCUUGCUGACAUAUAAAUAUAG